rnacentral:rRNA from 1 species
UACGUAGGGCGCAAGCGUUGUCCGGAAUUAUUGGGCGUAAAGAGCUCGUAGGCGGUCUGUUACGUCCGCUGUGAAAACCCAGGGCUUAACCCUGGGCUUGCAGUGGAUACGGGUAGACUAGAGGCAGGUAGGGGAGAAUGGAAUUCCCGGUGUAGCGGUGAAAUGCGCAGAUAUCAGGAGGAACACCGGUGGCGAAGGCGCCGCUCUGGGCCGGUACUGACGCUGAGGAGCGAAAGCGUGGGGAGCGAACAGG